rnacentral:rRNA from 1 species
AGGGAGCUUGCUUCCUUGAUCAAGUGGCGAACGGGUGAGUAACGCGUGAGGAACCUGCCUCAAAGAGGGGGACAACAGUUGGAAACGACUGCUAAUACCGCAUAAGCCCACGACCCGGCAUCGGGAAGAGGGAAAAGGAGCAAUCCGCUUUGAGAUGGCCUCGCGUCCGAUUAGCUAGUUGGUGAGGUAACGGCCCACCAAGGCGACGAUCGGUAGCCGGACUGAGAGGUUGAACGGCCACAUUGGGACUGAGACACGGCCCAGACUCCUACGGGAGGCAGCAGUGGGGAAUAUUGCACAAUGGGGGAAACCCUGAUGCAGCGACGCCGCGUGGAGGAAGAAGGUCUUCGGAUUGUAAACUCCUGAUGUUGAGGAAGAUAAUGACGGUACUCAACAAGGAAGUGACGGCUAACUACGUGCCAGCAGCCGCGGUAAAACGUAGGUCACGAGCGUUGUCCGGAAUUACUGGGUGUAAAGGGAGCGCAGGCGGGCGAUCAAGUUGGAAGUGAAAUCCACGGGCUCAACCCAUGAACUGCUUUCAAAACUGGUCGUCUUGAGUAGUGCAGAGGUAGGCGGAAUUCCCGGUGUAGCGGUGGAAUGCGUAGAUAUCGGGAGGAACACCAGUGGCGAAGGCGGCCUACUGGGCACCAACUGACGCUGAGGCUCGAAAGUGUGGGUAGCAAACAGGAUUAGAUACCCUGGUAGUCCACACCGUAAACGAUGAUUACUAGGUGUUGGGAGAUUGACCCUCUCAGUGCCGCAGUUAACACAAUAAGUAAUCCACCUGGGGAGUACGACCGCAAGGU